rnacentral:rRNA from 1 species
CCUACGGGAGGCAGCAGUGGGGAAUAUUGGACAAUGGGGGGAACCCUGAUCCAGCGACGCCGCGUGAGUGAAGAAGUAUUUCGGUAUGUAAAGCUCUAUCAGCAGGGAAGAAAGAAAUGACGGUACCUGACUAAGAAGCCCCGGCUAACUACGUGCCAGCAGCCGCGGUAAUACGUAGGGGGCAAGCGUUAUCCGGAUUUACUGGGUGUAAAGGGAGCGUAGACGGCGAUGCAAGUCUGAAGUGAAAGGCGGGGGCUCAACCCCCGGACUGCCUUGGAAACUGUAUGGCUGGAGUGCAGGAGAGGUAAGUGGAAUUCCUAGUGUAGCGGUGAAAUGCGUAGAUAUUAGGAGGAACACCAGUGGCGAAGGCGGCUUACUGGACUGUAACUGACGUUGAGGCUCGAAAGCGUGGGGAGCAAACAGGAUUAGAUACCCGUGUAGUC